CAGCCGCCGCGGUAAUACGUAGGUGGCAAGCGUUGUCCGGAAUUAUUGGGCGUAAAGGGCUCGCAGGCGGUUUCUUAAGUCUGAUGUGAAAGCCCCCGGCUCAACCGGGGAGGGUCAUUGGAAACUGGGAAACUUGAGUGCAGAAGAGGAGAGUGGAAUUCUACGUGUAGCGGUGAAAUGCGUAGAGAUGUGGAGGAACACCAGUGGCGAAGGCGACUCUCUGGUCUGUAACUGACGCUGAGGAGCGAAAGCGUGGGGAGCGAACAGGAUUAGAUACCCGAGUAGUCCCUGUCUCUUAUAC
rnacentral:rRNA from 1 species